UUCCCCCUCUGCACCGGGAGGUGGCGUGCAUCAGGGCCCAGCCGCCGGCUGGAAUUCGGUCUUUGCAAGCGCCGCGCGCGCGGGAGGCGGCGGGGAGCGGGGCAGACAAGGCUGCCUGUGGGUCGUCUGUGUUUCCAAGACCGUAAACAAGUAAAGGAGAAAACAGACAAGAUCAUUUGAAAUAACACCAAGUGGUAACAUAAUAGAAGCACAGAUGGGAAAAUGGAGGCUGAAUCGCCUGUUGGAGGGAAAUGAGAAGUUGAAGCAGUUGAACGAUUUCCCCAUUUCCUCGAGCGUCCAGUACGUGGUGGAGACCAGAUUCGGACUGCAGACAUACUCUGGGUUCCCAGGAUUCCUGAAAUCCAAAGGUUCCAAGCUGGCUUCCAGGGCCUGUGCAAGCCUCUUGCUGUUUUGCGGGCCUGAAAUUCGGCCAGGACUCAGCUGGGCGGUCCUUCUGAUCCAUGGGCGUUGACUAGUCACUUGGCCGCGUUCAGCUGAUGAUUGGUUUCAUCUGGAGGAUCAAGAUGGUUUG